UACGGGGGGGGGCAAGCGUUGUUCGGAAUUACUGGGCGUAAAGGGCUCGUAGGCGGCCAACUAAGUCAGACGUGAAAUCCCUCGGCUUAACCGGGGAACUGCGUCUGAUACUGGAUGGCUUGAGGUUGGGAGAGGGAUGCGGAAUUCCAGGUGUAGCGGUGAAAUGCGUAGAUAUCUGGAGGAACACCGGUGGCGAAGGCGGCAUCCUGGACCAAUUCUGACGCUGAGGAGCGAAAGCUAGGGGAGCAAACGGG
rnacentral:rRNA from 1 species